rnacentral:ncRNA from 2 species
CAUUGGAAAAGGCAAACUUAUUGAAAAAUAAGGACGCAAAGCCACGGGUCUAAAGUACUGUACUAUGAUCGCCGGGUUUCCGUA